rnacentral:tRNA from 1 species
AUUUAAAUAGCUUAAUAAGAGCAUAAUAUUGAAGAUAUUAAGGUAGUAAUAAACUUUUAAAUA